UUUCCUCGGGGGAAGAUGGAGGAGAAGUUUCCCUCGGGGGAAGAUGGGAAGAUGGAGGAGAAGUUUCCCUCGGGGGGAAGAUGGAGGAGAAGUUUCCCUCGGGGGGAAGAUGGAGGAGAAGUUUCCCUUGGAGGCAGAGAGAAUACAGGUGAAACAGAGGUAGACCUCAGAAGGUAGGCUCAGAAGGUAGGCUACAGCGUAAGAUAGAUGACCCCCCCUCAGUAACAGAUGUGUUCUGUGUCUCUUACCCAGACAGGAUAGAUAUAUAUACCCACCCCCUCAGUACCAGAUGUGUUCUGUGUCUCUUAUCCAGACAGGAUACAUGACCCCCCUCAGUACCAGAUGUGUUCUGGGUCUCCCAUCCAGACAGGAUAGAUACAACCCCCCCUCAGUACCAGAUGUGUUCUGGGUCUGUCCCAUCCAGACAGGAUAGAUAAAACCCCCUCAGAGUACAGAUGUGUUCUGGGUCUGUCCCAUCCAGACCCCCUCAGUACCAGAUGUGUUCUGGGUCUGUCCCAUCCAGACAGGAUAGAUAAAACCCCCUCAGUACCAGAUGUGUUCUGGGUCUGUCCCAUCCAGACAGGAUAGAUAAAACCCCCUCAGUAACAGAUGUGUUCUGGGUCUGUCCCC
ensembl:lncRNA